CGGGGGAGCAAGCGUUGUUCGGAUUUACUGGGCGUAAAGGGCGCGUAGGCGGCGCAACAAGUCACUUGUGAAAUCUCCGGGCUUAACCCGGAGCGGCCAAGUGAUACUGUCGUGCUAGAGUGCGGAAGGGGCUACUGGAAUUCUCGGUGUAGCGGUGAAAUGCGUAGAUAUCGAGAGGAACACCUGCGGCGAAGGCGGGUAGCUGGGCCGACACUGACGCUGAGGCGCGAAAGCCAGGGGAGCGAACGGGAUUAGAUACCCCGGUAGUCCUGGCCUUAAACGAUGGAUGCUUGGUGUCCGGGGUUACAUAGUCCCCGGGUACCGGCGCUAACGCAUUAAGCAUCCCGCCUGGGGAGUACGGUCGCAAGACUG
rnacentral:rRNA from 1 species